GAAAUGCGAUAAGUAAUGUGAAUUGCAGAAUUCAGUGAAUCAUCGAAUCUUUGAACGCACCUUGCGCUCCUUGGUAUUCCUUGGAGCAUGCCUGUUUGAGUAUCAUGAAAUUAUCAAAGCAAGUCUUUUGUUAACUCGAUCGACUCUUUGGAUUUGGAGGUCUCUGCAGAUUUAACCUUCUGCUCCUCUUAAAUGCAUUAGCUGGAUCUCAGUAUAUGCUCGGUUCCACUCGGCGUGAUAAGUAUCACUCGCUGAGGACACUUUUAUUUAUUUAUUUAUUUAUUUAAAGGUGGCCGGGAAAUACAGAUUGAACCGCUUCUAACAGUCUAUUAAAUUAGACAAAUAAUUUUAAGAUCUGAUCUCAAAUCAGGUAGGACUACCCGCUGAACUUAA
rnacentral:misc_RNA from 1 species